AUCCAGUUGACGACGAUUCCCAAAUAGGACGAAACGCGCGUCCUGGAU
rnacentral:hammerhead_ribozyme from 1 species